rnacentral:rRNA from 1 species
UCGGAUGAAGAUCCUUGUGACUGAGUGGCGGACGGGUGAGUAACGCGUGGGUAACCUGCCUCAUACAGGGGGAUAACAGUUAGAAAUGACUGCUAAUACCGCAUAAGACCACAGGGUCGCAUGACCUGGUGGGAAAAACUCCGGUGGUAUGAGAUGGACCCGCGUCUGAUUAGGUAGUUGGUGGGGUAACGGCCUACCAAGCCGACGAUCAGUAGCCGACCUGAGAGGGCGACCGGCCACAUUGGGACUGAGACACGGCCCAAACUCCUACGGGAGGCAGCAGUGGGGAAUAUUGCACAAUGGGGGAAACCCUGAUGCAGCGACGCCGCGUGAGCGAAGAAGUAUUUCGGUAUGUAAAGCUCUAUCAGCAGGGAAGAAAAUGACGGUACCUGACUAAGAAGCACCGGCUAAAUACGUGCCAGCAGCCGCGGUAAUACGUAUGGUGCAAGCGUUAUCCGGAUUUACUGGGUGUAAAGGGAGCGUAGACGGCUGUGUAAGUCUGAAGUGAAAGCCCGGGGCUCAACCCCGGGACUGCUUUGGAAACUAUGCAGCUAGAGUGUCGGAGAGGUAAGUGGAAUUCCCAGUGUAGCGGUGAAAUGCGUAGAUAUUGGGAGGAACACCAGUGGCGAAGG